GGAAGGCGUCACCUUAGGGGUGGCCCCUGCCGUGGCCGUGGGAGACUCCAUCAUUGCCCCCGUGGUCGGGGACGGAGGAGCGGAGGAUGCCGAGGAGGCGGUGCUGAGACCGGUGAUCGUGGAGGCCGGGACGGACGGCGUCCAGGUCGGGCAGUGGCUGUAGUCGUCGCAGCACUGCAAUCGCACGUGGUAGUUGAAGCAGAGUUUGAAGGGGCCCGGCUGCUGGCGGUUCCUGCAGAUCAGACCCACGUUCACGUCGCACAGCACGUUCUGCCCCACCUCCUGGAUGGACAAGCCGGGGUAAUUCUCCGCCCGGCACUCGAUAGCCACGGGGUCUUUGCAGAUCUGCCGGCCGGAGGCCCGCAUGUUAGCGAGGGUCUCGAUGUCGGCGCCGUCUGGCCCGGACUGGGGAUAGUCCGUGUCCAACCAUUCCGUCCAGCGACAGGCGGGCUGACAGGCCGUUGUCGUCAGGGUCUCGGUGACGGCAGCGGUGGUGGUGGUCUUGACCGGAGCCGUGGAGGUCGUUCCGUAUGUGGAACCGGUCCCAGAAGUCCCGGGGGUGGUUCUGGUCUUCCCCGGGCUGCUGGGCCCCGCAGCAGAGGUGAUACGCUGCUUGCCUGUAGCCGGAGAGCUCGUGGCAGUGGGCGACGCCUUCCCCGUGGACGGUGCGGUGGAGCGGACGGUUACCGUCGGCCCGCCGGACGUGGUCCGGGCGGUCGUCACCGCCGGGGUCUCAGCCGUAGUCGUCCCCGGAGGGCGGGUCGCGCAGUGGCUGUAGUCGUCGCAGCACAGGGCUCUGACGUUAUAGUUGUAGCACAGGUUGAACUUUCCCGACUGGUCUUCGUUCCAGCAGAUCAGCCCUCGGUCCAAGGAGCACUGUACGCGCUGCCCGAUCUGGUCGAUGCUCACCCCGGGGUAGUUUUCGGCCCGGCACUCCACCUGGAUGGGAGUCAGACAGAGCUUCCCCCCGGCGGCCCGGAUGCGGUCGAAGGUCUCGAAGUCCCCGCCCAUGGUCCCCGACGACGGGAAGUCCACAUCGAACCACUCCGUCCACUGGCAUCUCGGGUGGCACGGGGUGGAUCCGGCCGUAGUCGUCGUCGGGGCCCCCGCGGACGUCCCGCGAGAUGA
rnacentral:lncRNA from 1 species